CCUGCACUUAAACACCUCGCUGUCCGACGGCAGACAUCCUGCAAGAGAAGAGCGUGCUGAUGUGGCUUCAUCGCUUCCACCCCAACGAACAGCAGCCCAGACCCUGCGCAGCUCCCGUGCUCAAGACGCUGACCGGAGCCCAGGUGUAUCCCUGCCGCUGUGGCAGAACCCAAGUGGGCCCGGAAGGUCUCGGAAUCAGCUGAGCUCCAGCAGCAGGCUCAAGGUCUUCACCCCACUCUCUCCCACAAGAAGGGACCCGCAUAAUCCUGAACUCAAGACCAAAGGACUGGUCUAGAGCUUGUACAACACAUCAGAUUCAUGACAAGAACUUAGAAUAUGGACUUUCCAAACAGACGGAGCUGGAGAAUGACGUGAAACUGUUACAUUAAAAAAUCUUUCUGUCAG